CUCGUAGUGAAGCAGUGCAGGAUGAGAACCACUGGUUCGAGCCGAGCCGAGCCGAGCCGAGCCGAGCCGAGCCGAGCCGAGCCGAGCGAAGCGAGACGACAACGCGAACGCGUUGCCCGUAGGGUGAGCUCGCAGAGCAAAUCAAUCCAGCACGGCCCACCA
rnacentral:sRNA from 1 species